rnacentral:rRNA from 1 species
CGCUGUGAAGAUGCAGUGUACCCGCGGCAAGACGGAAAGACCCCGUGAACCUUUACUAUAGCUUGACACUGAACAUUGAGCCUUGAUGUGUAGGAUAGGUGGGAGGCUUUGAAGUGUGGACGCCAGUCUGCAUGGAGCCGACCUUGAAAUACCACCCUUUAAUGUUUGAUGUUCUAACGUUGGCCCGUAAUCCGGGUUGCGGACAGUGUCUGGUGGGUAGUUUGACUGGGGCGGUCUCCUCCUAAAGAGUAACGGAGGAGCACGAAGGUUGGCUAAUCCUGGUCGGACAUCAGGAGGUUAGUGCAAUGGCAUAAGCCAGCUUGACUGCGAGCGUGACGGCGCGAGCAGGUGCGAAAGCAGGUCAUAGUGAUCCGGUGGUUCUGAAUGGAAGGGCCAUCGCUCAACGGAUAAAAGGUACUCCGGGGAUAACAGGCUGAUACCGCCCAAGAGUUCAUAUCGACGGCGGUGUUUGGCACCUCGAUGUCGGCUCAUCACAUCCUGGGGCUGAAGUAGGUCCCAAGGGUAUGGCUGUUCGCCAUUUAAAGUGGUACGCGAGCUGGGUUUAGAACGUCGUGAGACAGUUCGGUCCCUAUCUGCCGUGGGCGCUGGAGAACUGAGGGGGGCUGCUCCUAGUACGAGAGGACCGGAGUGGACGCAUCACUGGUGUUCGGGUUGUCAUGCCAAUGGCACUGCCCGGUAGCUAAAUGCGGAAGAGAUAAGUGCUGAAAGCAUCUAAGCACGAAACUUGCCCCGAGAUG